GACCUGGUGGCGAAAUGCAUCGCGCUCGCACCCUUUGCAAAGGCGGCAAAAGUGUUUGCGGGAGUUCCUUGUUCGAAUCAAGGUUAGGUCG